UAAAUUCUGUGUAAUUUAUUGUGUCAGUUUAAUUGCGUUUAAUGAAAGUUUAAUGCCAGGAGAGGAAUUUCUCUGCUAGGCUCUACAUCUGAGAAUCCCCAUUUAUAGGAACUCUUCUAUAGUCUUCCAUAUAUAAACAUAACCUUUUUUCAGAAAGGAAGAAAAAUUAUGGAAGAUAUUGUUUCAAAUGUUGGAAUGUUUCUAAGAAAUGAUGUCUUUUUAUGCCACAAAAUAUGCGAAAUAUCUUUUCUUAAUUUUCUAUAUAAUUUUUGUAGAACAGCAUAGAAAUUUCAUUGGGUGAUAUUAAUUGGUAUAGCUAUAAAAUUAUAAAAAGAAAUUUACAUAACCUAUAAUCUAACAAUUCACUAAUGAUUAUAAUACUGUCAAUUAAUAAAUUAUUGUGCAACAGGUGGAGAAUGUGAAAAGAAUGGUGAGAAAUACAGUAAUUUAUAGUUUGGAAAGUGAAUGACGCGAUAAUUCAAGUCCUGUGAAGAGGUAGAAGAAUGAAGUUGAAAAAGUCAGGCACAAACUUCUUGAUGAAGGAAGUUGUUUGCGGUCGAAUGAAUCGGACCUUGGCAAGAGAAGUCCAGACGGUGCGGUGCUGGAAACAGCUCAAAGGAGUCCGCGGCACGUCGACAAGACGUCCCCUUUGUGGGAUACCGUUCGACCACCGAGCAAGUAACGAGAUCUUGGUUCGUGGAACUCGCCAUAACGACCCCGCCUCUCGUUUGUCCAGAAAUUCAUUCACUAAUUCUCCUCUUACCUUCUGCUGUCACAACAUUGAUCUGUUUUUUGAUUAAAUAUCACCAACGAGUCUUUAUAGUAGACAAAAGGUAUAUUAUGAUGAGAGAUGAUCAGUAGUUGAGAGGUUAGAAUUCUAUACCUAGGGGAAGAUACAUAUUCACGCAUUUGUGAAAUAAUAUCUAAUAAGAAGUUACAUCGUAAAUUGUAUACAAUUAAGUAUACGUUCAUCACAUUGCUAAAAUGGGACGUGAAAAAGUAUUUAGAAGAGGGCAGAACGUAUUGUUUCAGUGAGAAGAGGUUAGGAGGUUGUUUACUCGAACUGUUACAUCGAGUUCGAUCCCCCAAUUGUUUGGCGGAGAGCGUGUAUCGAUCGAAUGGUUCGAGGAGUCAAGCGUUCGCACGUGUCCGCACCUUUUUCUUUCUUUGCAGACAUUGGAUACUGUAUACGCUGGAUGCUGCGCGAAACCGUUAUGCAACCUGCAGCGUAUAAGUGGUCUUUGCUCGCCCAGAUUCCCGUUGCCCUGUCUCCGCAUCGUUUUGAUCAUUACAAAAUGGCUAUGGAGAAUUAUAAUCUACUCAUCCAAAACUACAAGUUCCUUAAAUUUACCUUAAUUAGGAAUGAGAUAAAAGUUAUAAGAAUUAAUUUAAAAAAAUGGAAGAAAUGAAAAAUUGACUAGGUUAUAUAUUUUCACGGUUGAUAAGAACAGCGUAGCAUUGGAAAUAAAUAACGUUGUGCAAUCAUUCUUAACGACUCGAUCGACUACGACGAAACCACAUUUUACUGCUUGUUUAGCCUUCGCAUUUUUCAAUACCAGUUCUUUGUACCCACGUAAUUGAAAUAUAUAUGUAUGUAGUUCCAAUGUAAUUUCAGAUUGGGAAGUUUCAUUUCCACUUCUCCAAUGUCAUUUAGCUGUUACAGCUAUACAAAACCAUGGUUAUUCACAUCACGAAGACAUCUCCCUAUUUCCCGUGUUCUAUAACGUUUUGAAGCAAUCGUAUAGCUUACUUCAGAAGCGACGUUCAUUGUUUUCUCUGUAUUAUGCUUCACUGUUUCAACGCGUUUUGAAUUCUUCCAUACAAUUCAAACUCAAUAUAUGUACUUUUUUCAAAUGUACUGCUUAAAACAAUGAUCCACCCACUAUUGAACUCGAAAACGCCAUCUACAUCAAUAAGUAUUUGUUUGAAUUACUGCUUUGUAUGAGGUUACAUUAUUUAAUAACUUUGUCAAACUGUCUGGGAAAUGAAUUUUAAAAUUUUGUAGAUUAAAAAUUGAAAAUUUUGAAAUUUUGGAAAUUCGACGGUUGUCGAAUAAAAUAUCUCUCUAACUUUACUUGUACUUUGUACCAUUUUUUAAUUUAAGGUUAUAUACAGGUAUAUUGUAAAACGGAUAAUGUCACGAGGUAUUUAAGGCGACAGACUCCCACGAGUUACCGUCGGCGUCAUCGACCAUCAUGAUCCCCGUGUUUAGUCUCUGGCUCCAUUUCCUUCUCCCUUUCGGCCACUUUCCUUCUUGUCCCUCCUCGUCUCCAGCCGCUCCCUUAUUCGCUUUCAAGUAUUCUUCUCUUCUUUUGUUUCUCUCCCCCUUUUCUUCUCGCUACAUUUGUAUUUUUUUUCUUCUCUCUUGCAUUGUUUUAGUGUUGAAUAUUUAAUAGUUUAAUCUCUUUUAAUUUCUAUUUCAAAUAUUUUAGAUAUUUCUUUAUAUUCUAGUCUCGAAACUUCCCAUAAGUGUACAAAAAAUCGCAGUAUAAUAAUUAUUGUGGAAGUCACAGCAAUAAGUCUUAACAAGCAAUAUUUUUUAAAAAGGAUUAACCGUAGAAAAAUGUCUGUUCGCCAUAUUUUUCGUUCUUUGAACAAAUGUUUCUUGCUCUGCCCAUUUCUUCCUACUCCUUUAAUCUAUUUAUGACCGAAUUCAAUUACUCCUCUCUCUUCAUCUUUAACCUCCAAUAUAUCUUCCUCCUUCUGGAAUCGUGUUCCCCAUGAAAGAAGAAGAAUGGAAAGCUGUGACUCGAUUUACGACCCUGUUUACAGCUUCCGGAAGAAGCAUAUCGACCUCACGCACGCACUAGAUGACGAAAAAUGGACGCAAAUUGGGGUCAGGAGGAGUGGCAUCACAUGUCCAAGGUGUGCAUCAGGUAACCAUGAGCGCGUUUAUCGUCCUUUAAAAGAGAUUCGAGCGUCGUGUGGACACUAGCAGAGAUGAAGUCAACCGAAGGAGGGGUUUCCUCACCCAAGGUGAUCCGGUAUAAAAGCGAGAGGCCAUCAAGAGCGAGAAGACCACCUGACGAAUCCCCACGUAUAAAAAGAAACAGGAUAAAAGAAAUCAAACUUUAUUGAUCAGAAAAAAGAUAAUUAGCAUCGGGUCAGGACCAUAUUUAAUAUCAUACAAAGUUUUCCUGGAUCAUCAUACAUGAUAUUCCAAUAAUCAUGGAUACCUUGUAUAAUAAAUACAUAAAGGAAUAAAAAUCUGUGACUAGAAGAAAAAACACAAGAAAUACCAUUUGGUUUGAAUUUCGAGAUUAUGAUGGACAGGAAAAUGUAAUUAGCGAAGAAGACGCGGAGAUUCCUUGAUGAAGCGCUUUUUUAAUUAAGGUUCGAGUACGUUAUCGCUUCCAGAUGUUUUAACGAACAUUUUUUUGGCCAAACAGAGCUGAUGUUCUAGGUUGUUCACCCCGAUGACCACUAAAUUAAUUCUGGCGAUGACAUUAUCCGCACCCCCGCGUCCCUAGCCCUUGAAGCGGAGCCAGUGACUCAUUGUCAAUGACUUUCCAUCAAUUUCCGCCUCGUUUCGUUUACCAUGGGGAAGCCACAGAAUCGCGAGUCAUGGUUUUAUUAUCAAGCAUCAGUUUAAUUUCUGUUCCUCCUUAGUAAAAGUUCUCCUUUUUUGUUUACAGUGAAUCUAACUUUACUUUAGGGAUUCUAAUUCUCAAAUUAAUUGUUUUUAGAGUAAUUAUAGAAGGAUUAAAUAGAAGUAUUAGUAAUAAUAACAGAAUUAGUCUAGAGAAAUGAUUGUUAAGUGAGUAACCAAGUUUAAAAAGGCCUCGUUUUCUAUCAAUACGAAACUGGAGACCAAAAUAAGUUAGGCCUUGAGGGUUUGACUAUACAUAGACUGGUAUAUACCUUAUGUACAGGGUCAAGUCAAGGCGGCGUUGUCUUGGAGGCGACUUUACGAUGCAAAUACACGUUGCCGCGAUUUGUACAAUUUUCUCUUGUUUGGCUAGAGAGCCGGACGCUGGCGCCGUGACGCUGCAUUCGUUUCUGGCACGAAAAUAGUCAGCAGUCGACGGAGAAGGAUAAAGGCGGCUCAGUCGAAUGAAAGACUAGCCUGAAGGCGGCAGACGGACAAAACAACAAGUUAAGGGGAGAAAAUCGAAGUAAACGCUUCGUCAAACCGUGUUCUCGCUGCCCUUUCCUCCUUUUACCAGCCAUAUUCUAAAAAUAGUUCCGCCAUGUGAGCAGGGAAAGUGCGUCCUUGGGUCUUCGGAGAACAAAGAUUGCAAUUGGCCAAUCUGAAGGAAAACUAAUCGAAGUAUUAGAUUAUUAUCGAUUCUAACUUCAUUUCAAUUUUUUAAGGACGAUAUAUUGAAAUUUCAAGUUAUAAUAUUUGGGAAAAUAUAUUUCUUCUAAAAUUUAGGCAGUAGACAAUUAGAUAUUUAAUCUUAAAUUUUUUCAAAUAUAAGUAUAGUGUCAAAUGGAGUCAGAAAGUAGCGAUUUUCUAAUUUAGUAAUUGCCUGUUAAAGAAACUCACUGGCUUGUUUUAUUACCACACGAUGGUAAUUGGAGAUUACGUGGACGUUGCAUGAAAUUUCACGGGGAAAAACAUAAUUCGGCCUAAAUGGAUCAAAGUAUAACAGAAAGAACCGUGUAAUUACAACGCUGCGCGAAAAUGUGUAUACAGAGGCGAGGAUAGCCGGUUAUCCUGAAGGCAGCCAGUGGAACAAAGAGAAACUACCGGACACAUAGAGCGUCUUGGGCAACCGGCUUGGUGAUUUCGUAACUCCCCGCGCCGCCGCAAACUGUAUCACAUGAGAGAAGUUUGAUCCCCGAUACAACAUACAACGUUUGCUGGGAUUAUGGCGUAUAAUUAGAGAACAAAAGAGAGACAGGUAUAACUUAAAGUAUAGUAGGUUACGCGUAAAUGAAGAUCUUAGGAUAGGAUUUUUGCUCAUUUUUUAUUCGAAUGUCACUUUAUGAUUGAAGAGACUGAAUGCUGGAAACACGGCAUAUAAUUAAAGAAUAAAAUAGGGACACUUAUAACAUGAAAUGAAGCAUAGAGUAUUGAGUAUAAAGAAACGAUUCUUCAGAAUUUUCAAUGAGUAAUGGCGGCAAGAUUGAUCGACUCUGUCAAAUGAACUAUUGAAUGGCGCUUUUUUCUAAAGAAUCCUCGUUGUUUACAGUGACGCAUCGAAAAAACUGCGUUAAUUGGUCGAAAGCAUCUCAAUGAACGGAGGAGAAAUCGUCAAGAGUCGAAUGGAUGGAACGAAAUCAUUGUAGCACUGCGGAAUCGAUUCUUUGCUUGUUGGGCAAUCGACAAUCUGCAACCUGGAACAAUUGUUUCCACUCUCGUUCCGCGUUCAAUCGAUUAAAAAAAGAAUUUCCAUGAAAUUGUAAUUAUGCAGUUAUAUGAUCAGUAGUUAUUACAUAAUACAUGCAAUGUAGCUAUUAUAAAAAUAUUAUAAUUGCUAUGCAAUCUGAAUAUUCGAAGAAUUCUAAAUUUGGAAAUUUGGAAAUCUUACGGUUUGAGAAUU